rnacentral:rRNA from 1 species
CAGCAGCCACGGUAAUACGAAGGGUGCAAGCGUUACUCGGAAUUACUGGGCGUAAAGCGUGCGUAGGUGGUGGUUUAAGUCCGUUGUGAAAGCCCUGGGCUCAACCUGGGAAUUGCAGUGGAUACUGGGUCACUAGAGUGUGGUAGAGGAUAGUGGAAUUUCCGGUGUAGCAGUGAAAUGCGUAGAGAUCUGGAGGAAUACCGAUGGCGAAGGCAGCCAUCUGGCCUAAUACUGACGCUGAGGUACGAAAGCAUGGGGAGCAAACAGGAUUAGAUACCCGUGUAGUCCCUGUCUCUUAUAC